GAUGAACGCUGGCGGCGUGCCUAAUACAUGCAAGUCGAACGAAACUUCUUUAUCACCGAGUGCUUGCACUCACCGAUACAGAGUUGAGUGGCGAACGGGUGAGUAACACGUGGGCAACCUGCCCACAAGAGGGGGAUAACACUUGGAAACAGGUGCUACUACCGCAUAACCAUAGUUACCGCAUGGUAACUAUGUAAAAUGUGGCUAUACUACCGCUUUUGGAUGGGCCCGCGGCGCAUUAGCUAGUUGGUAGGGUAAAGGCUUACCAAGGCAAUGAUGCGUAGCCGAAGUGAGAGGUGGAUCGGCCACAUUGGGACUGAGACACGGCCAAAACUCCUACGGGAGGCAGCAGUAGGGAAUCGGACACAAUGGGCGAAAGCAUGAUGGAGCAACGCCGCGUGGGUGAAGAAGGUCUUCGGAGCGGAAAACCCUGUUGUUAGAGAAGAAAGUGCGUGAGAGUAACUGUUCACGUUUCGACGGUAUCUAACCAGAAAGCCACUGCUAACUACGUG
rnacentral:rRNA from 1 species